GAGAUACCCCAGAUAGUGAUGAUGACUGUUACAGGAGGAGCUGAAUGAUAUAACCAGGCAACAAACAAUGUUUUCUAUCUAUAGUUAACUGCUAACAUUUUAAAUUAUCUGCAUUUGCUAAUGGCAAGCACCUGAGCUGUAGAUGUCCUGGGAGUUUUAAGCACAGGAGUGUUGAAGAAAGUCUGCCUCUGUCUCCAGAGCUUUGACGGAAAUCUAAGCCAAACAAAUCUAUCUUUAAAAUAAGAAGCAUCCAUGUCGCGAGGAUGGAAACUGGAAGUAACCUGAGCUAAUUCUGCUACCACCAUCAUCUAUUGCAACAAGUGAUGGCACCCACUGAUUGUCGCCGGAAGCUCGCGUCCUUUUCAGGACGGAUGAUGACAGCGAUGUCAACAUUUGAAACAUGGAAGAUGAACACGAAAGAAGAAGAAGACUCAGCUGUGAUCAUAUUAAAAGAUGGAGAACCACAAGAUGGAAACUCCUGCUCCUCAUUUCUCUGUCCCGGAAUUUGAAAGUUAAUCUCUGAGUGAAUACAGAACAAUGGUGAAGCUGAAUCUUCACACAGCGGCAGAGACCUGGGUUUGACACUGAUUUGCGGUGCAUGAGUUUUCUCGGGUGCUUCAGUUGCCUUCCUUAUCCCAAAGAUGUGUGGAUGCUGCCUGACAUGAUGAAUGCUUCAAGGUUUUAAGAUUUCCAACAUCUGCAGCACCUGGCAUUGCAACCUUUUUUGACAGCACCAGGUUAGUUCAUUCUGGGAGCUACACCAAUUUGUGCAUUGGAUUGCUUCGUCAGUGCCGAUUCACUCACACGAGGAAACAGUUUCUCCCUAUCAAUGAACAACUUGCCAUCUAACUACAGCUACCAGUGAUUGUCAACAGUAGCCCACUUAUUCGUGUUCCAGCUGGGAUCGGUUGAGUUGCAAACCACGCUAGGGGUUGACCUGAAAGCUCCAGAAUGUAGGCCGUCCUGAAGGAUACACUGUCCGGGGGAGUGUUUGAUGUCAUUUCCUGGAGGCGAUGUUGUGUUCAUCCUUUCAGCAUUUGGAAACUCUGUCAUCAACUGACCUUGAAAGUCUUCUCUGCGCUCAUAUUCCUUCC